UGCUGGAGGUAUCAGAAGUGCGAAUGCUGACAUAAGUAACGAUAAAGCGGGUGAAAAGCCCGCUCGCCGGAAGACCAAGGGUUCCUGUCCAACGUUAAUCGGGGCAGGGUGAGUCGACCCCUAAGGCGAGGCCGAAAGGCGUAGUCGAUGGGAAACAGGUUAAUAUUCCUGUACUUGGUGUUACUGCGAAGGGGGGACGGAGAAGGCUAUGUUGGCCGGGCGACGGUUGUCCCGGUUUAAGCGUGUAGGCUGGUUUUCCAGGCAAAUCCGGAAAAUCAAGGCUGAGGCGUGAUGACGAGGCACUACGGUGCUGAAGCAACAAAUGCCCUGCUUCCAGGAAAAGCCUCUAAGCAUCAGGUAACAUCAAAUCGUACCCCAAACCGACACAGGUGGUCAGGUAGAGAAUACCAAGGCGCUUGAGAGAACUCGGGUGAAGGAACUAGGCAAAAUGGUGCCGUAACUUCGGGAGAAGGCACGCUGAUAUGUAGGUGAAGUCCCUCGCGGAUGGAGCUGAAAUCAGUCGAAGAUACCAGCUGGCUGCAACUGUUUAUUAAAAACACAGCACUGUGCAAACACGAAAGUGGACGUAUACGGUGUGACGCCUGCCCGGUGCCGGAAGGUUAAUUGAUGGGGU
rnacentral:rRNA from 1 species